rnacentral:rRNA from 1 species
AUGCUCUUGACUGUUGACUUCGAGGUCCAGUCGCAGCUGCUUGUCGCUAAGGAUCUGGCAAGAAUUAAUUGGAUUAUAGUCCAUGUCUGGUCAUGCCUUGAAUGGCGAAGGGCCGCCCACAAGGUACUAGGUCCAAUUUCAUGGAAAUGCUACAUCUAUCUACUGCCUACUCCACUUAUUCACAUACAGUUUUUGCUUUUGUUUUCACUUUUCUCGGCAUUUUUAUGUGUCCCUUUUUAUGGCCAGCUUGACAUCAACUCAAAAAGAACAAAGAAUGUUCAGGUCAAUUGUUGGUUUUUUCUACAGUAG